AAAGGUUAAGAUGUUACGCUGUUAAGUAAAGAUUAAGAUGUUAAGCUGUUAAGUAAAGGUUAAGAUGUUACG